AAAGAAUUGGGGAAGAUAGUCAAGGAAGAGUGGGAGAUAUUUGAAGAGAGGUUUAAGAUGGAUGUUGCUGAUCAAGAAGGUGAUUUCCCCCCCCUUUUUCUUUCUUUUUUCUUUUUCUUUCUUC
rnacentral:ribozyme from 13 species